GGCCCCGUAAUCGGAAAUGAGUACACUUUAAAUCCUUUUAACAAGGAUCCAUUGAAGGGCAAGUCUGGUGCCAGCAGCCGCGGUAAUUCCAGCUUCAAUAGCGUAUAUUAAAGUUGUUGCGGUUAAAAAGCUCGUAGUUGGUUCUGCGUGCCACGCUGUCGGUUCGCCGCCUGCCGGUGUAACUGGCAUGCCGUGGCAUGUCCUGUCGGUGGCGUUCGGGAGCCUCGUUAGGUGCCGGCCCUUGCCCUAAAGCUUGGUGCUCGGAGGCCGGGGGUAUACCCGUUCGCCUAUCUAUCCUACCUAGGUGCUCUUCACCGAGUGUCGAGGUAGGCCGACACGUUUACUUUGAACAAAUUAGAGUGCUCAAAGCAGGCUGAAAUCUCUGCCUGAAUAGUGGUGCAUGGAAUAAUAAAACAGGACCUUGGUUCUAUUUUGUUGGUUCUUAGGAACACAAGGUAAUGAUCAAUACGGACAGGCGGGGGCAUUCGUAUUGCGACGUUAGAGGUGAAAUUCUUGGAUCGUCGCAAGACGCACAAGAGCGAAAGCAUUUGCCAAGUAUGUCUUGAUUGAUCAAGAACGAAAGUUAGAGGUUCGAAGGCGAUCAGAUACCGCCCUAGUUCUAACCAUAAACGAUGCCAGCCAGCGAUCCGCCGAUGUUCCUCCGAUGACUCGGCGGGGAGCUUCUUCCCGGGAAACCAAAGCUUUUGGGUUCCGGGGGAAGUAUGGUUGCAAAGCUGAAACUUAAAGGAAUUGACGGAAGGGCACCACCAGGAGUGGAGCCUGCGGCUUAAUUUGACUCAACACGGGAAACCUCACCAGGCCAGGACAUUGGAAGGAUUGACAGAUUGAUAGCUCUUUCUUGAUUCAGUGGGUAGUGGUGCAUGGCCGUUCUUAGUUGGUGGAUCGAUUUGUCUGGUUAAUUCCGAUAACGAACGAGACUCUAGCCUAUUAACUAGGCGUUUUCCGGUGCCCCCGUCACCGGCGACAUUCAUUCUUCUUAAGGGGACAGGCGGCUUUUAGCCGCACGAGAUUGAGCAAUAACAGGUCUGUGAUGCCCUUAGAUGUCCUGGGCCGCACGCGCGCUACACUGAAGGAAUCAGCGUGUGCCUCCCUGGCCGAAAGGCCCGGGUAAUCCGCUGAACCUCCUGCGUGCUAGGAAUUGGGGCUUGCAAUUGUUCCCCAUGAACGAGGAAUUCCCAGUAAGCGCGAGUCAUAAGCUCGCGUUGAUUACGUCCCUGCCCUUUGUACACACCGCCCGUCGCUACUACCGAUUGAAUGAUUUAGUGAGGUCUUCGGACUGGCGGUAAUCCCUA
rnacentral:rRNA from 1 species